GACGAACGCUGGCGGCGUGCUUAACACAUGCAAGUCGAACGGAAAGGCCCUGCUUUUGUGGGGUGCUCGAGUGGCGAACGGGUGAGUAACACGUGAGUAACCUGCCCUUGACUUUGGGAUAACUUCAGGAAACUGGGGCUAAUACCGGAUAGGAGCUCCUGCUGCAUGGUGGGGGUUGGAAAGUUUCGGCGGUUGGGGAUGGACUCGCGGCUUAUCAGCUUGUUGGUGGGGUAGUGGCUUACCAAGGCUUUGACGGGUAGCCGGCCUGAGAGGGUGACCGGACACUUUGGGGGUGGGACGCCGCCGGGGCUUACCGGGGGGGCUGGGGGGGGGAAUACGGCACAGGGGGCGGGGGGCGGAAGCGGGGGGGCCGAUGGCGGAAUGGGGGGGUUCGGGGUGAAAACCCCUUGCGCGGGGGACGAGGCGUUAGGGGUUGUAAGGGGUAAAGAGGCCCGGCCAAACGAGG
rnacentral:rRNA from 1 species